GUGUCAGCAGCCGCGGUAAUACGGAGGGCGCAAGCGUUGUUCGGAAUUACUGGGCGUAAAGCGCGUGUAGGCGGCCUGACAAGUCGAAUGUGAAAUCCCGGAGCUCAACUCCGGAACGGCAUACGAUACUGUUAGGCUCGAGUCCCGGAGAGGAUGGCGGAAUUUCCGGUGUAGAGGUGAAAUUCGUAGAUAUCGGAAGGAACACCAGUGGCGAAGGCGGCCAUCUGGACGGUGACUGACGCUGAGACGCGAAAGCGUGGGGAGCAAACAGGAUUAGAAACCCCAGUAGUCC
rnacentral:rRNA from 1 species